UCUGGUCAGUUUUGCUGGGUUGCAUUCAGCGUUCCCCCGUUGCUGUGCAAAUCCAUGCAAAACUGACCAUAGC
rnacentral:pre_miRNA from 1 species